GUUUUUAUAGUUGAAUAACAACGAUGGUUUUUCAAGUCAUUAGUCUUGGUUAAAGUCCAGGUGGAAACU
rnacentral:tRNA from 1 species